GGGUUGUUGGCUCAGUGGUAGAGCGCUCGCCUAGCAUGUGAGAGGUCCUGGGUUCGAUCCUCAGCACUACAUA
rnacentral:tRNA from 1 species